rnacentral:rRNA from 1 species
UGGCGGCGUGCCUAAUACAUGCAAGUCGAACGCUUUGUGGUUCAACUGAYUUGAAGAGCUUGCUCAGAUAUGACGAUGGACAUUGCAAAGAGUGGCGAACGGGUGAGUAACACGUGGGAAACCUACCUCUUAGCAGGGGAUAACAUUUGGAAACAGAUGCUAAUACCGUAUAAAAAUAGCAACCGCAUGGUUGCUACUUAAAAGAUGGUUCUGCUAUCACUAAGAGAUGGUCCCGCGGUGCAUUAGUUAGUUGGUGAGGUAAUGGCUCACCAAGACGAUGAUGCAUAGCCGAGUUGAGAGACUGAUCGGCCACAAUGGGACUGAGACACGGCCCAUACUCCUACGGGAGGCAGCAGUAGGGAAUCUUCCACAAUGGGCGAAAGCCUGAUGGAGCAACGCCGCGUGUGUGAUGAAGGGUUUCGGCUCGUAAAACACUGUUGUAAGAGAAGAAUGACAUUGAGAGUAACUGUUCAAUGUGUGACGGUAUCUUACCAGAAAGGAACGGCUAAAUACGUGCCAGCAGCCGCGG